rnacentral:rRNA from 1 species
GUGCCAGCAGCCGCGGUAAUACCGGCAGCCCGAGUGAUGGCCGAUCUUAUUGGGCCUAAAGCGUCCGUAGCUGGCUGCGCAAGUCCGUUGGGAAAUCGACGCGCCUAACACGUCGGCGUCCAGCGGAAACUGUCCGGCUUGGGGCCGGAAGAUCCGAGGGGUACGUCCGGGGUAGGAGUGAAAUCCCAUACUCCCGCACGGACCACCGAUGGCGAAAGCACUUCGAGAAAACGGAUCCGACAGUGAGGGACGAAAGCCAGGGUCUCCAACCGGAUUAGAUACCCCAGUAGUUC